AUUUAUAUAGUUUAAGAAAAACAUUAUAUUUUCAGUAUAAAAUUAAAAAGAAUAAAUUUUUUUAUAAAUA
rnacentral:tRNA from 1 species